UAGGUUCUUUAAGUGACUAUGUUGUAAUGGAUAUGGAUUAAGACUUGAUGUUCUAAUACUGCUAAUAAUGAGGCAAUCAUUUAUUAUGAUUUGUCAGUAUGGAUUGAUGUUUAAAAUAGCCAUUGGAGCUGACUUUUAAGGGUACAGCAUUACAGUUUGUCCAUAAGGAUUUAUGUUGAAAUGGUCAUUGACAUUGACUGCUAAGCCUACCAUUACCAUGAUUACUGUGGCUGCAUGAAAGAAUUGUGAAUAAUUUUGUAAAUACUUAAUGAUGGCAUAGAGUUAGCCUUGCAUGCAUGUUGACAUUCAAAGGACACAGCUUUCAUCACAAAAUUGUGCUAGCACUUGAUAACAAGUGUUGUGCUAUUCUUGUAAUGUUAGACCUAUCUGCUGCAUUUGAAGUUAUUGAUUAGCUGAUUCUGAUUGAACAUCUUGAAUACUCCUACAGAAUAUCUGAUGAUUCCCUUCCAUUGACAAGAUGUUACUAAAGCAACAGAACAUAACUUAUUUCUAAUACAUAUUGAUAAUGAUGAUAAGCUACAGAAUAUCUGAUGAUGCCCUUCCAUUGACAAGAUGUUACUAAAGCAACAGAACAUAACUUAUUUCUAAUACAUAUUGAUAAUGAUGAUAAGCUACAGAAUAUCUGAUGAUGCCCUUCCAUUGACAAGAUGUUACUAAAGCAACAGAACAUAACUUAUUUCUAAUACAUAUUGAUAAUGAUGAUAAGCUACAGAAUAUCUGAUGAUGCCCUACCAUUGACAAGAUGUAACUCAAGCAACAGAACAUAACUUAUUUCUAAUACAUAUUGAUAAUGAUGAUAUACAGCUACAUUUUGGUGUACCAUAAGGCUCUGUAUUAGGAUUGUAAAUGUACUGUAUGUUUUUUAAACCUAUUGAUGAAAUUCACAGAAGUCACAAUAUGAACCAAUAUUCCUAUGGUGUAUCUUGAAUGAACAGAAGACUAGAGACAGAUUUCACAGACAUAAUUGUAUAGAUGAGUUCAAAUAUUAUUACAAUUAGUAAAUAAGGCCAAAACCAAAUAUAUCGAUUUUGCGGAAUGAACAGAAGUUUGAAACUUUUAUGUAGAAAGAGAAAAGUUAUCUAAUCUUGCCUAACAUGAUUCUAUUAAUGUCUGAAUUCUUAUAAUUUUUAUAGUAUUUUCAUACAGUUGUAAUGGUUAUUUAUUUAUGUAGUUUUAUUGUUUCAUCUUUUUUAUUUUAUCUGAUGUGCCAUAUUUUAGUUUGUAAAUUGAUAGACUGUUUGUUAUUUUGUUGUUGUUGUGUAAACCCCUUAGAGUAUUUUUUGUUUGGUAAUGCCCUACAUAGAUACUGGAUAAUAAUAAUAAUUCUUUCAGACAUAGAGUAAAGAAUGUAGCUGGAUUUUGUCAGAAGUUCCUACUCCUUGGGGUUUUCUUAUGAUACAGGGGGAAACAAUUGCCUUUCAAUAGUUCAUAAAAAGUCAUUUCUAUAAUCUAAGCAGAUUCUACAUUUCUUUUCUGACAAUUUGAGACCCAAAUAGUUCCAAUGCAAAUAUAAGGUAAAAGUCCAAGUCCCUUUUCCUCAGUCAUUUAAAAAAAUCAAAUAUCUUCACAAUGUCAACAUCAGGAUAAAUUAUGAAUAGGGAGUGAAGGUAGAUGUGAAAGUUAACUGGAUCAAGAAUGUUAAAUAAAAUAUGUUUUUGUUAAUUUGGACGACAUUUUACUUGCAAUUAUGUACCAUUUACUACGCUGGAGGUAGUACAGACUUGCUUACCGUAUCAUUUCAACACUGGAAAAAGCACGUUUGUCUGAGCGAAGCCAAUUGGAAGCACGUACCUCUUAGUGAAGCUAAUUGGGAGCACAUACCCUCUGUCUUGUUGCGAAGCUGAUUUGAAGCAGUACAUAUAUACCUCUGUCUGCUAAAGCUAAUUAGAAGCAGUACCCCUGGCAGAGUGGGCCCGAUUAGAGGCAUGUAACUAUGAGGGAAGCCAAUUGGAAGCAUGUACCUCUGCAAAAUUUGAUAAAACACUAUUCAGCAAAUUUUAUUUAAUAUUCUUUUUAAAGUUUACUUUCAUACCUUCUUUCAUUUUUUAUUUAUAACUAUUCCCCUUGUUGACAUUGUGAAGUGCAAAUUAUCACUUCAUCAUUUGUACUCUUCUGUAGUUAUUAUUUUGAUGAAGGUGCCUUAGAAAUUAAAACACACCAAUAUCGUUUAAUUACUCUAACAAUCCCUGAAGUAUUGUUAUCAGGGCUUUAGAAUUAUCAUAAAUGAAUUUUAUACACCAUUCAAAUAGAAAAAAAUGAAUAUGCAUUUUGCUGAUUAUAUAUUUAUUUUCCUGGGAAUUCCACUUAAUGUAACUUUAAAUGUAAAAUACAUAAGUACUUUUUUUUUAUUCUAUAAAUGUUAAAAGUGAGGGUAGAAUCAUUGGUUAUUUUGAGAAGUUUAGGUAGCAGAGUGGUCUUAUUAUUCCAACAACUCUGUUAUUAGCCAAUGUCAAUUUAACACUUCCUAAUAGGUUGUGAGUUUGACAACUUUCUACCAAAUCUUCUGUCUUAUUGACACUCUCCUUUCAUUCACCAUUCCAAUAAACAUGACUGCCACAAGGAAAGGAACAGUGCUG